GUCACAGUCGAGACCGGAAGUGGGACGGAAAACGCAGAGACACACGAUGGGAGGCGGCAAAAGCGACCUGGGGACCUCUCCCUGCAAGUACAUCAGAAUGGCAAGCCGUGGCAGAGGAGUUUGCCACCACCUGGCAUUUCCAUAACUGUGGGGGAGCGAUAAAUGGCAAGCACAUCCACAUCAAGCCUCCUGCAAACAGCGGAUCCCUUUAUUAUAAUUAUAAAGGGUAUUUCAGCAUCGUGCUGAUGGCAUCGGUAAAUGCCAACUAUGAAUUCAUCUUGACAUUGGCAAAAACGGACGUGCAUCAGAAGGUGGGUCACUGAAGAAUACCACCCUCUACGAGCGGCUCACCACAAAGAACCUGAACUUACCAUCUAGGGAGCAAACACAGCACGGCCUCAAUUUUGUUUUCGUGGCUGAUGAGGCAUUCGCACUCCACGAGAACAUUAUGAAGCCGUACCCCCAAAGGCACCUGACAAUGGAGAAGCGCAUCUACAAUUAAGGGCUAUCCCAGGCAUGAUGAAUUGUAGAGAACACUUUUGGCGUCCUGUCUAGCCGCUUCCGCAUAUUCGUAACGGCUAUCAAUUUGCAGGUGGAGAAGAUAGAUUGGGUGGUGAGUGCGUGCUGCGUCCUGCAUAACUAUUUGCGCAGCAAAACCACCCAGCAUAGGACACUGCCCAGAGCAGCGCCAGGAGACUCAGACCCUGAACACCCAGAGACUUCACCAUUUCCAUCUGUGGAACCACCUCCACUCCAUUUUAGGGCGAGUCUACAGGCAAAACAGGUCAGGGACGAGUACCUGGACUAUUUUAACAGGGUAGGGGCAGUCGAUUGGCUAGAGGCCCACAUUUAAUUAGUGUACUGUUUUGGAUUGAUGGUGGAACUUGUUAAAAACUUAAAAACGCAUAAAAAAAAAAAAGAUAUACUUACAGGUGCCGACAGAGAUAGGUCACUGUCUUCAAGCUCUGGUGUGGCAGUCCGAGGGAGGGAGGUGAAACCUGUCCGGGUAGCCUCCUGGUCCAGGACAAACUCCAGCAUGGGGUACUACUAGAGCGAGAUCUUGUAAAUCUGGGAAGAACCUGUGCCAGACCUUUUAGACUGUUCCAUUUUUUUGUGUUCUUUGAGGAACACCGUACGCAGGUUCUGGAUCUUUUUCUUGACCCAUUCAUUGUUAGCGCCGGACACAAAGGGCCUGCAGUACUCCACUAGCUCCUCCAAGGACGCGUUCCGUUGCACUUUGGGGGUCAUUCCGAGUUGAUCAUAGCUGUGCUAAAUUUAGCAUAGCUAUGAUCAUUCACACUGACAUGCGGGGGGACGCCCAGCACAGGGCUAGUCCGCCCCGCAUGUCAGUGCCGGCCCCCCCCCAUAGACGUGCAAAGGCAUCGCACAGCAGCAAUGCCUUUGCACUUCAAGAGUAGCUCCCAACCAGCGGAGCUUUAGCGUGCAAGACAACGACGGCUGGCAUGCGCCGAUGCACUGCGGUGCCGGUGCAUGCGCAGUUCCGACCAGAUCGCUGCGCUGCGAGAAACUUCAGUGAGCGAUCGGGUUGGAAUUACCCUCUUUAUCAGAAUAGCCCUGUGCUUUGAUCUUCCAUAAACACUCCAAUCCACGGUACAUUUAUAGUAGGCCGGUGAAGAAGACAAUGUCUGAAUCUAGAGAUAUCUAUAAUGAAAAAAAAAAGGGGGUGCACAAACUGUUAUAUUUGUGUUUUACAAAUGGUUUUACUUAAAGGUAUAUGGUUAAAUGGUGUUUAACUUUGUAUAAUAUACGUUUUUUAAAUAAACUAUUUUUUUUAAA